AGACAGAGGAAGAGAAUUUACCAGAGACACAUGGAAGAACUGGCAGGCUGAACAGGCCCCAUGUGUCGGCACCAAUCUGCCUGUAUCUGCUCCACUGUUGGGAGACUAUCUGUGGCAGUGCCAGGCUGUUCGAGUGUAGGCAUAGAGAAGGAAUACAGAUGCAUUCAUCCAGGUUUGGACAUUUGUCAGACAAAGAUAAAAAAAAUUUAAGACAACAGGACUAGGGAGUUGAGAAUAUUGGUGAGAGUGUUAUGCAAAUAAUGGACUGUGGAAUCUAAACUAAAUAAUAAUAACGAAAAGAUCAACAGAGAUAAAAAGAUGAGAGGUGAUGGACUUGGGGAAAAUAAAGAGGCCAGCAUAUGAAAGCAAUACUUUUCAAGAUUUGGGGAUCAUGUCAAUAUGCAGAAUAUGAUUCAGGUCUGCAGGUGAGCAUGAGAUUCUGCAUUUUUAACAGUUUCCAAGGUAAUGCUGAUAGGCAUUAGAACUUCAAUAUGAUCAAAAGUAGUUUUUAAUUUGAGAGAGAGAGAAUCAAAACUGCUAUUACAUUACUAGAGUGGUAGCAACUGAACUCAGAACAAACGAUGAAUGGGGUUCCAUGAAGGACACUUUCCACAGCUACGAGGAAGCCUCCCUCUGAGGCUGCUGCUCCAGUCACUUCUUUACGAACUGUAUCCACAAACAAAGUUACCUGAGUGACCCUCUGUCUUGCUUCCCUAAACAAAUCUAACUAAAGAAAAGAUGGCAAAUUAACAAAGCUACCACCCCUAAAACCAAACUCUGACGAUGUCACAGAAAUGACAUAGAAAUUAAGGAAUCCCAGAACUUUGCACCAAAAGGAAAGAAGCAGGAGGAGAGUUGGUCGGUCAACACGGUUUUGACUGAGCUGUGAGUUUUACAGCCUAGGGAAGCUUCGCUGACUGGAAGCAAACCUCAGUGACUAAGUAAGUGUCCCAACUUACUGCCACAGUGGGGAUGAGGUAGUUGCCUUGCUGGGUCUGGGGCAUAAGAGGAGAGAAGGUCCCACUUCACUUGCUAGGCUAUGGCACUAGGGCCACUCUUUCUUCCCCAUACUGAGACCUCAGCACAGCAACAGCCACUAUGCUCCUCACCCAAGCAUUUCUCCAGGCCACUGAGGACUGCCCCCUAACCCUGUCAGGGCUAGUGCUUAUGCCCAAUAUUGGGGAGCCCAAGUUCAGGCCCUGUUCCAGUUCCAUCUAGCUUUGCCCAAUCUCCCAAGACAGAGCACAGGACCCAGAUCAUUGAGCAUCCCACAGCCCAACCCAUCACCUGAGACACCUGAGAACUACACAUGUUAAUAGAGGUCAAGAAUAAACCCUAUUGCCACCACUGUAGCAGGCUCUUACCUGAAAGCAUCAUCUACUGGCCAGGAGGUUGACCCACAUAGCUCAUUACAAUAUCUGCUGAUACAUGUACACAAUACCCAAGAAUAAAAUGAUGCUCUUGCAACCUAUGCUACCACUAUUGCCCAUAAACCCUGGCCACUCUCAGAAGGUCAUAAGCCUGCUCAUUCAUCCAGUAUACCACUACUACAACUGAUGUUUGAGAAAACACCAAGACUGUUUAUAACCUAGGAAGUCAUAUAGAGUCUUCACAUUGAGCACACCCAGAGGCAAAGUCAAAUGGUCCUAGCAAACUUACUUUAUACUCAUACCCUUAAGACAAAAAAUAAAGUCUUGCCCCAAAGUAAGUAAAUUCAAAAACAAGAAGCUACUAUUUCUCCAGUUGUGCUGAAAGCAGAAUAAUAAUAUGGAAAGCAUGAAAAAGCAAGGUAUUAUGACACCACCCCCCUCCAACCCAAGGAACACAGUAAUUCUGUAGCAAUGGAUCCUAACAAAAAAGAAAUCCUCAAACUGCCAGAUUAAAAAACUCAAAAUAGUGAAUUUUUUAAAAGCUUGAAAACCAAUAGAAAGAAAUCAGAUAAUCAAUUCAGGAUAUAAACCAAAGAUUUAUCAAUGAUAUAUAUUAUCUUUAAAAAGAAACUGAAGAGAAGUUCUAGAAAUAAAAAAAAUCAUAUAAGGAAUUACAAAAUACCUUUGGAAACUUCAAGAAUAGACUAGACCAGGCAGAAGAAGGAAUCUAAGAAAGUCAAGAUGAAAAAAAAGAAUUCUAAAAUCAACAAGAGAAAAGUGUCAUCACCUAUAAAAGGAACCCAUCAGACUAACAAUGGACUUCUCAGCAGAAGUCCUACAAGCCAGAAGAGAAUGGGAGGGGAUUUUCAAAUUGCUGAAAGAAGAAAACUGCCAAUCACAAAUUUUAUAUCCAGCAAGAUUAAAUGAAGGAGAAAUAAAGUCUUUCCCAGACAAGCAAAUGAUGAAGAAAUUUGACACCACUAAACCAGCCCUACAAGAAAUUCUCAAAAGAAUCCUAAACAUGGAAACAAAAGGUCUACAUUCACCAUCAUAAAAACAUACAAAAGUAUAAAACUCACUGUCAUAUAAAACAAUUACACAGUGGAGAAAUAGGAAUCAAAUGUCAACAAACCAGAAUUCCAACAAACCACAAAGACAGGCAGAGAAAAAGAUAGAAACAAGUGAUUUAUAAAACAAGUAGAUAACAAUUAACAAUAUGUCAAAAACGGAACUUCACAUAACAAUAUUAACCUUGAACAUAAAUGCAUUAAAUAUUCCACUUAAAAGAUACACAUUGGCAGAAUGGAUAAAAAAGAAACAUGAUCCAACUAUAUGCUGCUUACAAGAAACUCACCUUAUUAGUAAACACAUUUAGACUGAAUUAAAGGGUUGGAAAAAGAUAUUCCAUGCAACAGAAACCAAAAGCAAGUAGGAAUAAUUAUACUUACAUUAACAACGACAACAACGAAACAGACUUUAAAUC